rnacentral:rRNA from 1 species
AUUGAACGCUGGCGGCGUGCCUAACACAUGCAAGUCGAGCGAAGCACUUUGCUUAGAUUCUUCGGAUGAAGAGGAUUGUGACUGAGCGGCGGACGGGUGAGUAACGCGUGGGUAACCUGCCUCAUACAGGGGGAUAACAGUUGGAAACGACUGCUAAUACCGCAUAACACAUCGAGAGGGCAUCCUGUUGAUGUCAAAGAUUUAUCGCUGAAAGAUGGGCUCGCGUCUGAUUAGCUAGUUGGUGGGGUAACGGCCCACCAAGGCGACGAUCAGUAGCCGGACUGAGAGGUUGAACGGCCACAUUGGGACUGAGAUACGGCCCAG